ACGACCCGGAACGACUUGCGCCUAGAAAAAAAUCGUUGCCAGUAGAACGUUUGCGAGGCUUGCGCGCGGCGGCCCGGGUGCCGUUUGGGGUUUCUUGGCUCCCUCGUGCUGGGCGCCUCGCUUCUCGUCGGAGCCUCUGGUAUCGCGAGAGGUCGCCCCGAACCCGGAAAAGGCGCAGCAUGUCUGACAACGAGGAUAAUUUUGAUGGAGAUGAUUUUGAUGAUGUGGAGGAAGAUGAAGGACUGGAUGAUCUGGAAAAUGCUGAGGAGGAGGGUCAGGAAAAUG